rnacentral:rRNA from 1 species
CCUACGGGGGGCAGCAGUGAGGAAUAUUGGUCAAUGGGCGCGAGCCUGAACCAGCCAAGUCGCGUGAGGGAGGACGGCCCUACGGGUUGUAAACCUCUUUUGUCGGGGAGCAACGGGUGUCACGUGUGGCGCCACUGAGAGUACCCGGAGAUAAAGCACCGGCUAACUCCGUGCCAGCAGCCGCGGUAAUACGGAGGGGCCAAGCGUUACCCGGAUUUAUUGGGUUUAAGGGGUGCGUAGGGGGUUUGAUAAGUUAGGGGUGAAAUGUCCGAGCUUAACUCGGGAACUGCCACUAAUACUGUUGAUCUAGAGAGUAGAUGCGGUAGGCGGAAUGUAUGGUGUAGCGGUGAAAUGCUUAGAGAUCAUACAGAACACCGAUUGCGAAGGCAGCUUACCAAUCUAUAUCUGACGUUGAGGCACGAAAGCGUGGGGAGCGAACAGGAUUAGAUACCCGUGUAGUC